CAGAUUCCCAUAUCCAGGGGAAAAAUCCAUCACCCGUGCAGAUGGCUUCUUUUUUGGCAUCUGGGAGAGUCCUGUCUGUUAGCAAAAUGUAGAUAUUUGCAAUCGAGUUAUUUCCAGUCUUCAGGUUCUUCCUGAGCUUCUCAUCUUUCCUUGAAUAAUCUCAUUGUAUAUUUAAAGCCUCUUGGCAUUCCUUUCCAAAUGGACUGAGGCUGUCUCCAUCUCUCCUAGACCCCUUUUUUUCCUGGCACUCCAAUCUUGAAUUGAAGGUGUUUUCAAGGACAAGCACAGAGCAGAAUUCCCAACCCGAAAAUAGGAAAUUCACCAGGCAAAAUUCAUGACCUCCUGCCUCCUGUGGUUGCAGCCUCCUAUUAUUUUUGUAUUUCUCCGGUGCGAGAAGGACAUCAAGGAAACUUCUUUCUCGUACUUUCACCACUCCGAUCACUGUUCCAGCCGCUCCUUUGGGAUUCCUCCAACUUGCAGCUUCAUUCCAUAUGUUCUUCUCUUUCCUGCCCAGCUUCUCUCCACCUCCCCUCCCUCCGCCUGUUCCUUUUUGCUCUGGCCCUAUUCUCAGAUGAUAUGUGUACAUGUCUCCCUUGGCUUUUGCAGUUCCAUAGGGAAGGGAUCAGAGUCCUUUUUUUAAAAAGUGGAAGUAUAAAUGAAUUAAUGAAGUGAUCAGAAGGAAGUAGAUAUGUCAAGAUACAGACAAAUUAUAUGAAAAAACAAACCGAAGCCUGGAAUCUUGUUAACACCAUGCAGUUUAAGCCUCUUGAUGAGCCCUUGGAGGAGAUGGAACAAAGCUGUGUGAUCUUUGAGUACUGGGAGACAGCUGUUAAUAUCUUUCGAAACAACCCAGGAUGCUAUACUGCUUGAGAGCAACACUGGGGCAUGAUCUUGAGAGGUCUCUAAAGCCUAAAAUGGUCUGUGUGCCCACUCAGUGGAGGGAGGACUAUGUAGCCUCCCAAACCUCUGCAAAAUGAGCUUCAGGGGAAGAUCACUAGAGGCAUUCCUCAAUUCAAAGAAGACAAAAGCUAGGCAGAAGUUACCUGUGGAGGGCAAGACUCCUCCCGCCGUUGAAUUUUUCAGCUCCUCAUCCCAAUAGCUGGCCUGGAACCAAGUCAGUUCCUAGAUCAAGGUAUGAGGUUUGCUGAUAUCUUGCUAGAUGAAAACUUCACUGCUAAAAACAACAGCAUAAAAUAUGACCCAAGGGGUGAGGAUCCAAGAUGGCCGAAUAGAAACAGCUCCAGAGUGCAGUUCACAGCAAGAACAGCACAGAGGUUUCCUCAUCUGUACAAUGAGAGACUUGAAAAUGCACUACUACGGACAUCAUCCCAUCGUCUGUCUAACUUCCAGAUAAAAAUCCAAACUGCUUAUGGAGACUCAAGAUGGCACAGUGAGAACAACCCAGGAUUGAAGCUCUCGGUGAAUGCGCAGAGAGGGUGGAGUUUGUUGCCUUUUCAAAGAAGAUUUUCCAACGAAGCAAUGCCAUGGAGAGUGUUCCCAGGUAUUCAGAGCACAUCGAAAACCCGAUCCUGCCUCUCGGCUAGGCAGCACAGAUUCACUGCCAAGAUAAAAAGAG